GUCUAAAACCUUCAUUCAAAAUGAAAUUAUGACUAUUUGAAUAUAAUAAAAAUAUUUAAUAAAAUAUUCUACUUUCUUAUAAAACAAUAUUUAUAGAGUUAUCGGUAAAUAAUUUUUGUAGCGUAAAAGCUAAAUAAAUUCAUACAUAUUGUAAUGCAGAUAACCAAAGUAUAAAAUUUAAUUUACAGUGACACGUGGGCCCACGAACGACCAAAAGUAUCAAAAACAAUAAACCUAUAGUUUUUGAGGAUGCAAGUCCAACUGUAGCCCUCAACAAAGUGAGCUAUCUACCGACUAUCCUGAGCCUGAAAUGGGUGGAAAAGAGGGUGGUGAGAUUAUAUAAUCCCAGUGAGUAAACAAAUACCAUCUAAAAUAUCUAAAGGUGAGUAAAUGGAGACAGAUAAAAUAGAUUAGCAUAAAAAUGAUUUUCAGCAUUUCGAACUCAUUUUAAUAAGAUAAAAUAGAUUCAUUUCACCAAAAUAAACAACGAGGCUUAUGAUUUCCUGAAAAGUUUAGCUCAUGCCAAAAUCAUUAUGAUACUCAGUUAUUAGGGAUACCUUGGUCGAGGGCUAUCCCAACCGAGUCCGUUAAGGCUGUUAAAAAGUCAUGUAUGCAUAAAUCAUGUUUUUAUUUUAAAAACAUAGUCGUUCCUUGGCGUUGGCUGAGUUCACUCUCACGUGGUGGUUUGGCGUGAAGUGAACUCUAAAGUGUUAACCUCAGGAGUUAUCCAUCCUCACCUUUCAUACUGAGGUAAGAAUAUAAUAGGGUUACCGUGCCCCUCUAAUAGGAUGGUCCACGGAACCCGUCCAUUGCAGCGACUAAUAUAUAACCCACCAAUUCAAUAAAAUUUGCAAUAGCAUGACAUAGCAAUUAUUUUAUUUUACAGCCUCUCAAGGCAAAUCAACAGUUCAUACAUUGUUAGCACAUUUACCAAUUCAACCAAUCAUGCCAAUAUUAUCAUAAGCCAUUCAAUUCAAACCAUGAUUUAUAACACAACAAUUAGUCUCCAAUUACUCUAUUUUUAAAACCAUCAUUCAAUUUCAAGACAAUUUUAUAAAAUCGUUUCAUUUAAUCACAUUUUGCUUAUAAAACAUAAAGAUUUGCCAUUUAAACUCAUUUUCCAUAAAAUCAAAAAAAUGAAUUAAAAUUCACUUCAGAUAAUCAAGAUGAUGAUAAGGUUACUCACUAUUUCGGGAGUCGAAUUUCGAGUACUCUGAUUCUUGAUCCUCGGGUACUAUCUCUUUACUUUUACCACAAUUGUCACCACCUAAACAUAAUGCACAAUAAGCCAUUUACUACAUAUGUGCUAAAUUGUUAUAAAACCAAUUCAGGAUCUAUACUAAUGCAUGAAAUGGGAUGUAAAUUGUUUGGAUUAUCGUCCAAACACGGUGUUCUUCACACAUUCAAUGUGUACCUAAAUAAAACGGUAUUGGCCUAAUUCGAUCUAUCACUCGAUUAAUUGGCCAAUAUGUCAAAUUCAACUCCAAUAAUUCCAUUUUUCUCCCAAUACUUCAAAUCACCAAACACAAGUCAAAUAACAUAAAAUUUAGCAAAAUCAUCCUCACAUUUCUUCUUGAGAAUUUCGGCCAUGGUGAGUGCAUCAACACUAUGAUUUUUUCUACUUGAUUUUCUCACCAUAAUUCAUCAUUUCCUAACCAAUUCACUUGAAAUAAAAUCAAAUCCACCAUCAACACUCUACAAGGAAGAUUUGGCCAAUGAUGAACUCAUGAGGAGUAUGUGAAUUUCAAGCUUAAUUCUUACACUUAACACCAUAAACAACUAAAAACAUCUAUAUAUCUUAAAAAUCUAUCUAAAUCAUCAUCAAAUUCUCUCUCCUAGGGUUUGAUCAGAACACUAUACUUCAUGAUAUCUUGUGAUUCAACCAUGGAAAAUGCAAAAUAAUGCAUAGGAAAGAUAGAUCACAAGCUAGAGUUAAGAAAUUUCACCUUUGAUGGCUUGGUUACUUGAAAUCCACCAAUUUUCUCUUGAAUUUUCACUCUAGGGUUUUUGUUCUUUCUUUUCUUCCUUUGCUGUUGCUUUGGCCAGC
rnacentral:lncRNA from 1 species